CAAAUUAAAACAUCAGUGUGUUACCAGUACUCUUCUCAUCCUAAGCCAAAGGUACCUAUAGGUAGGUACUAAUAAGAAAAUUAAUUCUGUCCUAACUGAAACCAGGAGAAAAUGUUACAGUUGAUUUUGGGAACUGGGUUAUCACAAUUUAGAUGUCGAUGUGGACAUGAAUUAGACACAAGUUGCUCUGAAAUUAUUCUGAGGCAAGGAGCCUGUUUCAUGGGUUUGAUACAUGUGUUGCAUUCUGCACCAAAAUAGUUCUCAUCUACUCUGCUAAGCACACAUCUUUUUUCCAGAUGUGCCUGUGUAACAAUAGUACUAAUGUUGUCUGGGUCUAGUGUGAACAGAUAUUGCAAAGAGAAACAAAAGAACAAGAUGCAUUAUCAAAUGACAAAAGACAUUGCAUUGUUAGUCUGAGACAACCAGCUUCUCCAAGGCAAUCAACAACCAUUACUUGGUUGAAAGUUUUGAAAGGUUGGACUUGGUGUUUAGGGACAUGGUUUAGUUGGUGAAGUUGGUAGUGGGGUGAUGGUUGGAGCAGAUGAUCUUGGUGCGCUUUUCCAGCCCUAAUGAUUCUAUGAUUUUAUCUGGACCUGCUAUUGUUAUGUGCCAGGAUGUCCCUCUCUAAUUCACUGUGUUUUUUGCCUGCCAGAGGUUAUCUGCAGGCAAAAAGAGUCGAAUUUGUUGCCCUUCAUCUCCUUUAGUUCUGGCAGAUCACCUGUUUUCUAUGGGAAUAUGGCCAUUUCAGGCUGAUUUUAUCCAAAUGGAGAAAAAUGGGUCUGUUUGGUUGCUGCAGAUGACUGCUGUUUCUCACCCUAAAAUGUACAAGGUCAAUGCUAUGAAGUGGUGGCAGCUCUCACUAUAAUCUUUCCCCCUUUGCCUUAUCUAUCAUUUGCAUGUCCCUGCAAGUCUGCAAGGCUCACUGACUGAUGCCAGUUCUUAGACAGCAGAUGCUCUUCUGUUUAGCUUGCUGUUAAACAAAAUAUCAGUUACUGACAACCUAGGCAUGUUUGAUUCUGUAAUUUAAAUAGACUAAAUAUGGCAUUAGAUCUCACAUUUUGGUGUUUUCUUUCAGGAGACUAUAAAAAAGUUGGUUCCAAUACGCACAUAAGUAGGGAAAAAAAUAAAUAAAUAAUGAAAAACAGACUGCACUUACUUGUUUUUCCCUCUCUAUAUCUGUUACUCAGUUGGUUCUAUGGCUGCUAUUGGUAGGUGAUAGAGAAUUAGCUAGACUCCAUAGUUUAUGUGACAGUUUACCAUUUGUUUGGUAGCUGUUCACAGUGGCUUCUGUGAUGGUAAAAAUAUUUUGAUCUUUCUUUGAGAAGAUCAAAAAGUGAGAUUGGUGUAGAGAAAAGUGGGACCCUUUCUAUGUUUGUUGUUUUUAUAUGAUUUUUUUUGGGGGGGUGAAUCAGGUUCUAGUCUUUUCCAGUGUGAAAUCAUCAGAUCUUAUAGAUGGAAGUCACUUGCAUCAUCAAAAGAUAGUUGCUUUUGAAGUCUUAAGGCUCUGGUAGAAAUCAGUUUUCUUUUUUUGUCACUAGGAAUAUAUGUGGAGUUCAUGCUGAAGAAAGGAAACUAGCUUUGAUAUUAACUAAUAUGACAUAUAGUAAUAAUGACAUAUUAACUAAUUUUCUCCAGAAAUAUGUUCUUCUCAUAGUACUUACCAUUAUUUUUCCACAUUUAUUGCAAAUACCCCUUUGUCUGCAAAAUAAAACAGACUCCAGCAUUGUACUGAUAAAGGUGUAAGUAAUUAAUUACAAACUUGUUCAUUACAGAGCAGAAGUCAUAUUUUACUAAAUUAAUUCAGCUUUUAAUAAAGAAAAGUUCUCCCAGACUUCAUGCAAAUGUAGGGUAAAUGUUUCUCAGGUGGUCCAUUCUCAGCCAAUACGUACCAAAGUUGAAUUUGAUAUGCUGUAAGAAUUUUUAGCUCCAGAAUCUUUUUAUAAUGAUGUCUCAGGAAACAAAAAAUGCUAUAUGGGACUAUUUGCUCCAAUUAACUGACUUAAAUCUAUUGCCUUUGGUCUAGGAUGCUCAUUUUCUCAUAAUAUAAACAAGAUCUUAUUCCCUCAGCUUGGUCUAUAAUUUGGCAUAGGUGGAAAGCUUUAAUUGCUCCAUCAAUUGUAUUGUUUGCUUUAGGCUGACAUUAGGUGUUUCUUACCUUUCUCUUAGGUUUUGAAAUUUUUAAACUUCUCAUUCUUGAAAUGAUUUAGGAAUCUCUAUCCAGACGGCUUUUAAGUAAAACUUGCUUCAAAACAAUGCAACUGAGAAAUAAUUAUUUUUGUAAUAAUAUUUAUUUUGUCUAUGCAGCUAGACUCAUUUAGCUCAACUGUACAUUGUUGAAAGUUUUCUCGUUUUCUAUAGAUACCUUCAGGGGUUUUUUUUACAGCUUCUUGUGUCUCUUACAAAAGUAUAAUAAUAAUACUAAUGGUUUCUACAGGAAUUUCAUUUAAAUCUUAGUGGCCUUUGAGUCAAUAAUCAUGUAUAUUUUCACCAAUCUACAUAAUUCUUUUUUAGCUCUGAAAUCAGAGGUUGUCUGAAGUGGAGCAGGAGGUGUAUUCACCUGAUUAAGCGUAUGCCCUAGGCUAUUAAAUUUGAACAACUAUUUUUUUACCAAAGAAGAACUUCAGGUAUAAUUACCGUGACCUCUGUAGAGAAUAAAAAAUUAGGAAUAUUUAUGGCUUACCUUAAAACAAAAUGGUUACCUUAAAGCAUCUAUGCUAAAUUUAAUAAAAGAUUGAUUAAGAAAAGACUAAGUCAAAAGAUUUAACCAAAUAUUCAUUCUAUUAGUGAUAAUAGGAACAAUAGAGUGAAGCUGAAGUAAAAAGUAUGUAAAUCUGGUCCACUGGAAGAAAGAAAAGCCAUUUAUGCAUUUUAAAAAGACAAACUUCAUAUGCCUUGGUUUUGGUUAUGUUCUUUUGAAUAUUUGAUUAAUUUGAGGAACCAGUUUGCAAGCAUUAGGAGGCCUAAGUCAGUGUGCUUUUUUAUUUAUUUAUUUUAUUUAUUAUUAUAUUUUUUAUUGAUAUGCAAACUAAUAAAAGAAUAUCUCCACAAAUUCUGUCACAUGAACUACAGCAUGUUCUUUGGUCUUCAUUUAAACAGCACUGGUGAACCACUCUUUACCUCAGACAGUCUCUGAUUUCAGAGCUACCAAAGCCCUUAGAAAGAUUAAUGUAAAGAUACUUGACCAUUUAUUCCUGACACAUAAUUAAAAUAAUAAUAAUAAUACUGCUAACACACGAGUGAGCUUGUCUUUCUAUUUUACUUUAGUACAUUCACUUAGGAGAAGUGGAUCCUGGACAGAAAUCUAAACCUAGCAGUAAUCUUGCUUUUAACAUAUCUUAUCCUGCUAUGAACUCCCUUUGGUUCUUAGUGUAGGUAUGCUGGUGUUCCGCCUGAGAUAUUAUGGAAAAAAAUUUUUGUGGCAGUGCUAUACUGUGAAAACACAGCUUGUGAGGUUUAUACAUUUAUUUUGGGUAAAGGAUUACUUCAUACAAUAGAUCUGAUUACACAGUAUAACAUAAUUCCAGAAAUGCUGAGGGCCAGAUCCAUGAGAAGGGAAAAGUAGUGGAUCUUACCCAUUUAUUCCAUCUGAUAGUUUCACCAAAAGACUCUUGUAGUGACCUUUUCACUACUGGAUUAAUUUAAGAAAAAAUCUUUUUAUUGUGCCAUUUUUGAAUUAGUCUGACACUUGCCUAUUUCUGAUGAGAAAGACAACCUCUGUUUAUGUUCUGCAUUAUUGUAUACCAAUAGUUUCUCAAACUGUUGCAUGCUUCAAGUUAACCCUUAUAUCACUAUCUUAAGGACCACCUAGAAUCCACUCCCCAUCCCUCCAAGUGCUAAGCCACCAUGACACCAGGGGUGUUAGAAAUUAUAUUUCUUCCAUAAUUUUGUUGAAGACAGGUCCUGAAGCUGUGAAAUAACUGGUAAUUUGUAAAUGUCUAUGAAGUGAAAAAUCACUGAACACUGAGAGAAUACCUCAAGUGCUCUGCAAUUACUGUAGUGCUUUUUAUUAUCCUCAAAGGCAGAUAGAAGAGCUUUUCACCACUAUCAUAAUUUUCACACAGAAAAUAUUAAUAAAAAUUGGUUCAUAGUUCUGUGUUGUACUAAAAUAAGCUAUUUCUUCCCUGCACCCCUUUCAAGUAACUACAAGAAAAUUUAAUAUUUUACUCCAACAGUAACUGGAAGGAUUUCAAAUGGCUUCAGGACUACCUUUAUGAAAUUCUUGGUUGCCUGAGAGUUUCUGAAAUAGCCACUAAAUCUGUUAUCUGCUACACUAGAGACUAUGUUUGUAGGUUUAUUUUGUUAGUGGUGGUUUUUUUUUUUUUUUGUUUUUGUUUGUUUGUUUUUCUGAAUCACCUAGGACUAUUACUACUGGUAUAGGUUGAUGCUAGUGAAGCUACUCUGUCUCCAGUACUCAAAAGUAUUGAGAGACAGCUAAGCAGCAACCUCAAGUCAGCACCGACUGUGAAGACACAAGCAUGAUAUAAUAAAAAUGUAUGAAAGGAACAUAAAAAAUAAAAUAAAAUAAAAGUAUGUCUUUACUGUAAUCAGUCAGCAAAAAUCCUGUUUAUUUUAGAUGUUUACAAGGUAAGUUUUCUUUCUAGUCAAAGCAAAAAAAGGCACUCUGGGUGCCAAUUGCUCAAUUGCUCUCUUUUAGGCAUUUGUUUUGUAUCUUAAAAAGUGAUGCAACUUGCCUGUGACAUCUAAGUGCUGUGAGUCACCCAUCACUGCAUAGCUUCUAUGGCAGCUCUUUAAUACUUUAAAUAUUUUAAUUUUUCUUAAUAUACUUUUUACUUCUUUUGUAAAGAAGAGGAGGAGCCCUGCUCACACCUGUCCGACAUAUUGCUGCACUAAGCCCAGCAAACAGCUAUAGUCAUAAAACCACACAAGAAACAUUAGAGAACAUCUAUGUUCUCUAUGGUCUCUCCAUGGUCUUUCAGCUGGCUGUAGGAAAGAUGGAAGGAAACGGAAGAAUGAGAACAUUGUGAACAUGCUCCUGACAAAAAGAAAAUAAGGAUAUAUCCUUUUAAUGGACAGCUUCUGUUUCUUCAAGUUUGUAACAACACGAGUGAUGGCAGUAGGCACACCGGCACAGGCAUCACAGGAGAUCACAUCUGGAGCUGUCUUGAUUCCCAGGAGGCUGGUGGCACUGCCUUGUUGCCAUCAGGUGGGUGACAGACCUUUACAUCAGCUUGUCAGCCCUGUGAGUGCUGCAGCAUCCUGUGGCAGAGCUGGCCACGAUGGCUGGGGCCUACCUGUCUGCAGUGGCCACCCCUUCCCAGCAGCCAGCCAGCUGCAGCACUUGAUGGUACUCUUCAUGCUUCAGAUAAUGCAGAGACAAGAUGGAUUAACCCCUAACUUUCUUGCAAAGCAUCUGCUGCCAGGGAGAGAUCAAUGAAGCACAGUCAUUGUUGAAGACCUUCAUUUUGCAGACCCCAUGCUGUGAAAGGGAUUGAAAUAAUAAAAUGAUUUACACUGUG